AUCCUAGCAGGUAUAGUCAUGUUCUCUUUCUACUUGCAUUUUGGUUUUUCAUUCUACAAUUGUAGAAUUUACUUAAUGGGACAAUCAGCUGGUGCACAUAUUGUUGCUUGUGCUCUUUUGAAGCAGGCAAUCAAGGAAGCUGCCGAGAAAGAGAGAUUCGUGGAGUGUCUCUAAAAUAAAGGCUUAUUUUGGUUUAUCCGGCGGGUAUAAUCUGUUUAACCUAGUGGAUCACUUCCAUAGUCGAGGUCUAUACCGUUCAAUGUUUCUAAGCAUAAUGGAAGGGGAUCAAGGUCUCGGACAAUAUUCACCCCAAGUAAUGGUACAAGAUCCAAACAUUAGGAAUGAUGUUUCUCUCCUUCCUCCUACUAUCCUUUUUCAUGGAACUGCAGAUUAUUCCAUUCCUUGUGACUCUAGGUCUUGAACCUCCACUUUAUGCAACUUUUUACUUUUAACUAUUGUUAACA